GACGAACGCUGGCGGCGGGCUUAACACAUGCAAGUCGAACGGAAAGGCCCUGCUUUCGUGGGGUGCUCGAGUGGCGAACGGGUGAGUAACACGUGAGUAACCUGCCCUUGACUUUGGGAUAACUUCAGGAAACUGGGGCUAAUACCGGAUAGGAGCUCCUGCUGCAUGGUGGGGGUUGGAAAGUUUCGGCGGUUGGGGAUGGACGCGCGGCUGAUCAGCUUGUUGGUGGGGUAGUGGCUUACCAAGGCUUUGGCGGGUAGCCGGCCGGAGAGGGUGACCGGCCACAUUGGGACUGCGAUACGGCCCAGACUCCUACGGGAGGCAGCAGUGGGGAAUAUUGCACAAUGGGCGGAAGCCUGAUGCAGCAACGCCGCGUGCGGGAUGACGGCCUUCGGGUUGUAAACCGCUUUCGCCUGUGACGAAGCGGGAGUGACGGUAAUGGGUAAAGAAGCACCGGCUAACUACGUG
rnacentral:rRNA from 1 species